AAACAUGCUGUGAUCAUGGUGGAUAUGCACGUGCACCAAGUUUUUUCACAGUGGAGAGCGGCUGCUGCUUUUACCAUGACUGCAUCAAAAUUAACAGCUAUCACUU